CGGAGCAGCGUCCCUGAAACUUUUACAAAAUAGCACUGAUUUCGUUUACUACUAAAACAGCUUCUGCGGAGGAUAAAGAAAAAUGUAUUUCUAAUCAAGGAAAAAGAAAUCAUUUUUUCCGUAAUCAGACGAGGAUUAGACCAAAAGACAAGGCAAUGUGAGGAGAUGAUGAACUUGAAAAUGAAAUUCUAUUCCAAUAUGUAUCAGACUAACAACGAACCACUUUUAAUUUAUAUGAACCUUCCGAUUGUGGUAUGUGAAGGAACAUAAAAGACAUAUGAAGACACGAAGUGUCAAAUCUUUCAAAUAAAAAUGGAAGGGAAACCAAAACGCUAGCCAACAGGGCAUAAUGAUAAAACAGACAAUGUUGAGAAAUAUAUGUAUAGAAAAACAUAUAAUGCGCGUUGAUAAAAACGCAAAUGACUGACACUACAAAAGUGAUUACUUGAAAGCAUGAAUUCUAUGGACAGUAAACGUCAGAGAUUCAUUGCGUGGAAGUAAAUACAGAAAUAAUCAGUUAAUGAUUUCAUUGACAGAUAAGUGUUUUGAAAAUAACCUUGAUAAUAAUUGUUAGAAAUUAUACGAAAAACGCUGAAUGGUUUGCAACGGGCGCUGCUCCGAACAUUGAAUUCUAGUUCAGAUACAGUUCUGCGGUCAUUUCGGUAGCGGGUCCCAUUAAAAGAAAAAAAGGUGUUAAUCAAUGAAACAACUUUCGAACCUACACUUUUUCUCGGAACAGCAGAAAAAAUAUGAAUUCGGAAAGGCUGAAUUUGUUUUCGGAAGGUCUAAAUAUGUGAAUAAUGGUGAUAUUUACGACAACAUAGGUGGAGAUUAGAAGUAGAAAGACGGAGACGGAUAACGAGUGGGUAUCAGGAAACAAAAAUUAGUAACUUUUAAAUAUAUGUCAACAUGAAAUUAACACUGAACUUGACCUGAAUUCAAUAAGUCCAGGAAUUACAGGGCUUUACGAUUUGUGCGAUUUGAAUUUUCAAAAACGCAAUUGCACAAAAUAGCAAUGCCAAAAGAAGAACAAGAUUUGUACACCGAAAGAGGAACCAUAAGGAUGAAAGGAAAUAUCUGGGGAGUACAAAUAUUUCUUGUAGCUAUUAUAUGCACCUACAGUUUUCGUUCUGUGGAAUGUCUUCCAAGGACAAUUCGUGUCGGUGCCCUCUUUGAAGAAGAAAAUGAAUCGCAAGAAUUGGCAUUCCGUUCUGCGAUUGAAAAAAUUAACCUUCUGAGUGAAAUAAUACCUAAUAGCCUCCUUAUUGAAGAUGUUCAACACGUCCGCACUCAUGAUAGCUUCCAUGCAUCCC
rnacentral:lncRNA from 1 species